AACAAGAUUGAUGGGGUAGUGUGGAGAUUCAGUACUUCAGAAUCAAAAUACAUGAUUACAGGGUAGGAGAGAUCCCUAAAAUCAGUCUGGACACGGGAUCAGAAGAGGGACCUGACAUGUAAACUCCAGGAUGAUGCAGAUCCUCCCUCCCAAUUCAACUUUAUGUUCUUGAAGGACCCUAGGAGCUUUUGCCAGCCUUACAUCCACCGCCUCAGAUCAAGACUCGGCCAAGUACCAGCUUCCCGACUCAGGUCUAGGCUAGGCCGAGUUCCAUUCUUCACUUACAGUUCUCAGGAGGAGCAGGAACAUUUUUGAAAAACCACAGAAUGUUUUGACUGAGAGUCAUCUGUCCCUCUGGUCCCAGAUAGAGUUUGAAUGCAUGUCAUAUGCUUGCUAGUCAAUAGGUUCAAAGGUCAAUGAGGGGAAACCCUGAUGUGCUGGAAGAAUAAACCUCUUGCAUUUGCCUCAAA